GCUCUGUCUUGAUUUCCACAUGGAACCAGAUCAUCAAAGAGACUGCUCUCAGUGAGUUCACUGUGGAAAGUGUUUUCAGGAUUAAGCACGCCUCCUUUUUACGUCUCCGAUUCUACCUCCCCUGUGAGAUGCUCUUCACCUGCCUCCUCCUCUGACUCCAAUCUAUCAAAGUAAAGAUCUUCAGGAUCAAUGGUUGUGAAUUUAAAAGAAUUUCAGUUCAGAUCCAGUCUUGUAUUUGGAAUAGUCUUGUUGGUUUCCCAUGACAACAAGAAAGAUGUGAAGGCAAAGACCGCAGGACUGGAAUUCUUGAAGAAAGUCAGCCUCCUCAUGGUAUGCUCCCAUGACAUCCAUAUCUGCUUCCCAAGCCUUAGGGAGGAAGUCCUUCGACAGCCAGAAAGGGACUCUGGGAUCUAGUGUGAGAGAUAUAUCUGCAAUGGCGUCCUGUGUAAAAUUUAGCCUUGAGGAUGUGGAAGAUAGACUCCAGGCAGAUGCCAUUAACAGGAUGUUCAGAUCUCAGUGGAGCACCUGCUGGAGAUGGAAUACUUCAAUCUGAGGAUGGCACCCAUUUACACUAUCCUCUGCAAUUCAACCUUAACACCAAGCCUACUGUCCAGCCUAGGAGAAAAUGUUCUGAGAGACAGAACUGCUCGGUGCUAGGGCAGGUGUUUGAAGGAUUCUUUGCUGUACUGUGGGUACCUGUCUCAGGGGCAAGACUUCAGCCCUGGUUGCUUGUAUUACCCUGUACACUGGAGAAGUACCUAGGCAAACAAACGCUGUUCCUUUUCCAGGACUGGCCAAUAUCUAUCUCAGCUGACUACAACUGAAGGGCAGAGGGACUAUCCUGCCAAAUGUUCCAAAGGCAGAUAUAUAGAGCUACUUUCCAGAUACUGGGACUGGACCCCACAGUGGUGAGUACGUUUCUUGGGAAGCAUAAUAGUUGACAGUGAUUUCAAAUGUGUAUCUUCCUAUCACAA
rnacentral:lncRNA from 1 species